rnacentral:lncRNA from 1 species
GCUAAAAGAAAGCACUUUUAAAUGUCAGGGGGACAAUGUCAUUUUGUAACUCAGUAUUGAUAAUGUACAGUUUAGUUCCAUAAUUCUUUGAUCCCAACAUUAAAUUCCUGAAAUAGUGGUAUUGCUGACAAUGGUCUACGACAGAAAGAAAGAAAAAGGAUUAAAGUUGGAUGAGCAUUCUCUGUACCCUCUGCCUCUAACUUAACAAUCAUCUGGGGGUCAAAUCAACUUCAUUGAGAAAGUUGACUGUGCUUGUGUUUCUAGCUGGCUUACUGGCUGGCAUUCCUUCAUAAACUAAUAAUGCAUAUCCACUGAGAGUUCAUCCUCUAACCUUG